GGUGCUUGCACCUUUCAAGUGAGUGGCGAACGGGUGAGUAACACGUGGACAACCUGCCUCAAGGCUGGGGAUAACAUUUGGAAACAGAUGCUAAUACCGAAUGAAACUUAGUGUCGCAUGAUACGAAGUUAAAAGGCGCUUUGGCGUCACCUAGAGAUGGAUCCGCGGUGCAUUAGUUAGUUGGUGGGGUAAAGGCCUACCAAGACAAUGAUGCAUAGCCGAGUUGAGAGACUGAUCGGCCACAUUGGGACUGAGACACGGCCCAAACUCCUACGGGAGGCUGCAGUAGGGAAUCUUCCACAAUGGGCGAAAGCCUGAUGGAGCAACGCCGCGUGUGUGAUGAAGGCUUUCGGGUCGUAAAGCACUGUUGUAUGGGAAGAACAGCUAGAAUAGGGAAUGAUUUUAGUUUGACGGUACCAUACCAGAAAGGGACGGCUAAAUACGUGCCAGCAGCCGCGGUAAUACGUAUGUCCCGAGCGUUAUCCGGAUUUAUUGGGCGUAAAGCGAGCGCAGACGGUUGAUUAAGUCUGAUGUGAAAGCCCGGAGCUCAACUCCGGAAUGGCAUUGGAAACUGGUUAACUUGAGUGCAGUAGAGGUAA
rnacentral:rRNA from 1 species